AUUGAACGCUGGCGGCAGGCCUAACACAUGCAAGUCGAACGGUAACAGGAAGAAGCUUGCUUCUUUGCUGACGAGUGGCGGGCGGGUGAGUAAUGUCUGGGAAACUGCCUGAUGGAGGGGGAUAACUACUGGAAACGGUAGCUAAUACCGCAUAACGUCGCAAGACCAAAGAGGGGGACCUUCGGGCCUCUUGCCAUCGGAUGUGCCCAGAUGGGAUUAGCUAGUAGGUGGGGUAACGGCUCACCUAGGCGACGAUCCCUAGCUGGUCUGAGAGGAUGACCAGCCACACUGGAACUGAGACACGGUCCAGACUCCUGCGGGAGGCAGCAGUGGGGAAUAUUGCACAAUGGGCGCAAGCCUGAUGCAGCCAUGCCGCGUGUAUGAAGAAGGCCUUCGGGUUGUAAAGUACUUUCAGCGGGGAGGAAGGGAGUAAAGUUAAUACCUUUGCUCAUUGACGUUACCCGCAGAAGAAGCACCGGCUAACUCCGUG
rnacentral:rRNA from 1 species